AUAAAUGCGAUGAGGGAGAGUAGUACAUCCCCGGAAGCCGACAGGGAGAAAGAAUCAAGGACUGAGAGUUCUUUCAGGUGAUAAGUGGAUGGAAUUCGCUCCGAAGCAGCGGGCUGAACCAUGAGUAGGCCUAGCCGGUUCCGCCGUUAUCGGGUUCGAGUGGGCUCAACUUGGGUCAACUAGGGUGGUACCGCGUGCUUCUUGCGUCCCUAAC
rnacentral:ncRNA from 1 species